rnacentral:rRNA from 1 species
GGGGGGGGGGGGGGGGGGGGGGGGUGGGGGGGGGGCGGGGGGAGGGGGGGGGGGCGUGCUGCUCGGGCGGUAGCGGCGGGCGGGUGAGUAACGCGUGGAUGACCUACCUAUAAGACUGGGAUAACUUCGGGACACCGGAGCUACUACCGGAUAAUCUCUUGAACCGCAUGGUUCCAUAGUGAAAGACGGUCUUGCUGUCACUUAUAGAUGGAUCCGCGCCGCAUUAGCUAGUUGUUAAGGUAACGGCUUACCAAGGCAACGAUGCGUAGCCGACCUGAGCGGGUGAUCGGCCACACUGGAACUGAGACACGGUCCAGACUCCUACGGGAGGCAGCAGUAGGGAAUCUUCCGCAAUGGGCGAAAGCCUGACGGAGCAACGCCGCGUGAGUGAUGAAGGUCUUCGGAUCGUAAAACUCUGUUAUUAGGGAAGAACAAAUGUGUAAGUAACUAUGCACGUCUUGACGGUACCUAAUCAGAAAGCCACGGCUAACUACGUG